rnacentral:rRNA from 1 species
CCUACGGUGUGCUGCAGUGGGGAAUAUUGCGCAAUGGGCGAAAGCCUGACGCAGCGACGCCGCGUGAGGGAUGAAGGUCUUCGGAUCGUAAACCUCUGUCAGCAGGGAAGAACGGUCACUGUGCUAAUCAGCAGUGCAUUGACGGUACCUGCAAAGGAAGAACCGGCUAACUCGGUGCCAGCAGCCGCGGUAAUACGGAGGGUGCGAGCGUUAAUCGGAAGUACUGGGCGUAAAGCGCCCGUAGCCGGUAUGACAAGUCAAGGGUGAAAUCCCCGCGCGCAACGUGGGAACUGCCUUGGAAACUGGCAACCUGGAGUGUGUGAGAGGAUAGUGGAAUUCCAGGUGUAGGAGUGAAAUCCGUAGAUAUCUGGAGGAACAUCAGUGGCGAAGGCGACUAUCUGGCACAUAACUGACGCUGAGGAGCGAAAGCGUGGGUAGCAAACAGGAUUAGAUACCCGUGUAGUC